AAAAGCGCGGGGGGAUGGGGGUGGGAGAAAUAAACCACCCUCGGGGAAACAAUUGUGUUGAGCUUAUGUCACAUGAAAAACCCUAUUCUAAAAUUACACGGAGGACAUUUAAUCCCAAAACUGAAGCGUUUUUACAUGCAAACGCCGCAUGAUUCUGCUCUGGGGGAUUUCCAGAAACGGUGCCGCUUGCUAAUGCGUCUUCUGACAGUGUCAUUCCCCCCACCCUGCGCGCGCGCCGUGCAACCGGGUGUUGAUGCAAAACACGCUUCCCCCCACCCACAUCAGUGCAAGUGCAACGAGGAUUUUGAUACAACGCCGCCCAUCCCCGUACACACCGUGGAACUAGGGACUGAAAUUGGAUUCCUUCCAACCCGGCUGCAGAAAUUGCUGCCUACACAUUCACAGAGGAGCGCAGGGUUUCUAGGGUGAGGCAAUGCGUCUGCGAUUCGCAGAGACAAGGCAGGAAUUCUAUUGUUCACAAUGGAAGCUAACUGAUGGUAGCAGAAGUUAAGGGAAACAGUGGAUAAAAAAUAAAAUGCCAAAAGGCAAGAUGAAGGUCAUCACACUAGCUCAGUUUGGAAGAAAAUGUGUCAGAGAAUCAGAAAAAAUCCAAACAGAAGUUUGAUGUCAGCUUUUUACUUUAUAUGGAACCCUGUUAUUGACUCUUUGAAGCCUGCUAUGAGGGACUCUUUUGGAAUAAUUUCUCAGUGGAUCUGGGAUACCAUGUUUGCAAGACGCUUGUGAAAAGGAAACAUCAGGAAGGCCCUGAUAUGCCACUUGUCCACAAAUAAGGCCUGAAAUAUGGAGAUGCUAAGUCUUGUCUUAUUUUGUUAUGAUUUUAUUAUGAUUUUUCCUAUUAAAAAGUAUUCAUGCAUAUAUAUGAGUAUGCUAAUUUUCAGAAAGAUACACUGUAAAAAACUAAAUGCCCAAUCCUGCAAUGUAUAGCAGACUACUCUGCUCCUGCUGAGGUAGUCUACAGCAAAAUUUGUAAGAACAAAAUGAGUUUGUUGGAGAGAAUGGAAAAUGUUAAACCUUUUAAUUAAUUUUGUUUUUAAUCCAGCAGCUGACUUUUUUCAUUUUCAGGUAGCACAGUUGAAAAAUCUAGCAAAAUGACCUUAUUCCUCUGUGUUAGAGAGUCAGAUGCAACAGAUAUUUACAAUGUGUCUUGCCAGGAAGGGAGAGGAUUAUGAAAAUAUUUGAGAAGUUCAGAGGUUACUACAAUCCAAUUAAAAAUAGAGACUUGUGAGCAAUGUUUCCAGGUGCCAGAAGUGAGGACAGUUUAGGUCAAGCUUCUAAUAGUUUUCCUCAGAUUGAUAAAUAGGGAACGUCACAUUUUCUAUCCCUACUUCGCGUUGCUCCUUUGCAUCCAAAAAUGCAAUCAACAACUGGAUUUGUUGAGAUCUGAAAGCGGAUGGAGUGCACCCUGGCUUUGGAUUUCCUGAUGUGAGGGGUGGAGGGAUGAUGGUGACCCCAGUGACCCCUUUUAAAAAUAAACAGGAAGUCAUGGAAUCUGUGACCCCUCUGUGACAUAGCUGUAGCUGCGUUCAUUGCUUUAUACACAUUAGUUCAAUAGGCUACUAAAUGCCCCACAGAAAAUGGGAAAAGGACAAGUAUUUAACAGGAAGCCUGUUACAAACUGAGACUAAAACACAGAACUAAGAUUAUCAUUUGGCAGGCACGAUUUUUUGUUGUUGUUAAGAACGCCUAGUUUGGACUGCAUACAACUAACAAAUAAUUAAUCUUUGUCCCAAGCCUACACCCUCCUUUGUCAAAAUACUAUGUAAGACAUGAAAUUAUUAAAAGGAAAAGACAGAAUCCAUUUAAUUGCAGUCAUGGACAAAUAUAAAAGCUGAUUAUGCUCAACCAACACACAUACAGUAUCCAGGAGCAGUUUGUGUCAAUAUAUUCCUAAAGUGUUGUGAAGAUUUCAAGCUCUGCAACGCUUUGUCCAUAUGGGUCCUUUAUGAACAAAGAUCCUCACAUAUAAUAAAAGUCUAAAAUCUCUGAGCCAAGGCCAAAAGCGUCUCAAGGCUUGUGCCAGAACCAUUAAAGCUGUUUGCAGUGUGCAGGUUCCAGUAUUGCCAAAAUGUCCCCCCGAAGCAGUGAAGUUGAGCUGGUUGUCAGUUCCAUACCAGAUCAGCUAGAAUUAACAUGUUCCCCAUCGGCCUCUGUAUAUAGGCAGACUCAAACGCUGCAUACAGUACAGCAGUUUAAAGCUAUAAAGGGAUCACCAUCAGCUUGAAAUCUAGUCCAAUUAAAGAAAAGCUAAGCAUAGUUUCAGGUACUACCCUUGGCCUUGUUUCUCCCUGCCAAUUUUUUUGUGGUUUUACAAUCACAUUUUUCUAUUUGUUUAAAUGUUAGUCUCUCUCUGCCUAUUGAAAUCAGUGGGAAUUAGGCACUUAUAUACAGUGCUUAAGUUGUGCCAGGCCUUGCCAGGCUGAGCCACGGCACAUCUAGGCUUGGUAGUUCAUAGCCCUGGCACUCUGGGCUUGCUGCAUCAAUUAUGAAUGUAAAAAAAAAUUGCUUGAGCCCCAGUACCUCUUUCAUUACACAUGAAGCACUGCUUACAUACUUAGAGGAUUUGGGCCUAAGUGCCUAACUCACUUCUUAAAGUGAGGCUUAGACUUCUAAAUUAAUUAGGUGCUUUUGAAAAUUUUACUUGAAGUGCUGUCAAAUAGACAAAGACAAAUUUAAAAGAUAGAAUUGUUAUCCCUCUUCUCUUUCAGUAAUAUUACAUAAUGUGUGCAACAAUGAUAGGUAAAAACAUUCAGCUGUGAAGGCAUUUAAUGAUAUAUUUCUAACCUCUGAAAACAGCUACUACUUCAUUGUUUCCAUCAUGCUUUUUCCAGUUUAAAAAAACCCACCACAGUAAGCACUCUUGUUCACUUUGACCACAGGAAGGAGGCCGCUGGUAGGAAUUAUAAUUAAUACAUGCAAAAUUAAUAAUGAUAACUAAUGAUAGUCUGCACUUCAAUCUAUGUACAUUACCAAUAUAUCAUCAUCAUAAUAAUGAUAAUGCAAUUAACUUAGCUGCAUAAUACCCUGUCAGGUAGGUAGGUGUUAGUCUCAUUUUACAGAUGAGGAAAUGAAAGCACAGGCAAAUUAAGUGACUUACUCAAGGUCACAUAAAGAAUCUGUGGCAGAACUGGUUAAAAAACAACAACCCUCAGAUCUCCCAGUUCUGGGCUUUAGCUAUAAGAUUAUGUCACCAAGGAUGGACUCUCCAUAUCACUUGUUUCCCCUAUAUUGGGUUUGCCUGGGGGUCUGUGGGCAGAUUGUCCUUGCAUUAGUGCCUGUGCAGCCUCAGUACUUGUAUGUCAAAAGGGUCUUCAUAUUUACUGUAUGGAGGAUUGCAUUAGGGUGUGCAGGGUAGGCUCCAGGAUUCACUUUUAUUCAGUGGCCUUAACGUGCCAUUCGACUGGUGCAGAAAGAAGUGCUGGUGAAAAGUGUUAGGCUGACAGCCCUAGGACUGACCUCUUCGAUCAGUAACACAACUACACGGUGGACACAUAUUUCCACAGUGACUUACCAAGAUCAAUCAGGGUGAGAGACUAGUGCAGUGCCUAUGCCUUUUCAUUCCUUAGCCUUUCCUCAGAGACUGCUAUCAAGAGAAGCAAACGGGAGUGGAGGCCAGAGUAGAGGAGUUUUUUUAUGAUGGGGAUAUUUGUACACUAGGAAGUGGAUUAAUGCCACCAAACUCAUUCCACAUAGGGCAUCAAACAACUUUAGAAGGCAAUAACAUUUCAACAUUAAUGACCUGAGCUGGAUUUGAAUUGCUGACCCAGAGGUGAAAGGCUCUGUAUCUCAUUACCAAUCCCCUGAAUCAUCUACUUCCCCUCCGCCAGUUACUAGUAUUGCUAAAUGUAACAUCGCACACAUUAUAAUUAAGAAAAAAAAUUCAGACCAAAUAAAAAAAUGGUUGCAGCUUCUCAGAAACAUCUCUGUGAUAGUUGCUGCCUGACUCAGCCUUCAGUUAAAAUUUGUGUGUGUAAUACAACUUCUGUUGUAUCUUACGUAAUAUUGGUAUCCCGAGGACCCAUCUCUGGAAGGGGACACACCCAAAGAGAAGGAUUCAGCCAAUUCCAUGGUAGCACAUCCUCCCUUUCUUGAUCCAGGGAUCAGCAUGGCAAGAGGGAUUUUGAAAUGAGCUGGCUAUGAGAAGAGUGGGAGUGAUACACAUCGACCAACACUAGUCCUGUGGCCUCCAGCUGGAUUACUUUUCAAACAAACUCUCCCAAUGAAGUGCACACCACAGCACAGGGCCCCAACUGGCCAAGAAGAAACCUCCCCUGACUCCAGGAUUCCGGGUGAGAGCAAAGAGUGUGUGCAUCUCUGCUCCCACCUGCACUAGCUAGAGAAGGAUUUAGCCCAUAUAUUAUAUAUUAUAUUAGUAGUUAGGGCAGGAUUUAGCCACACAUACCCCUGUUAAAGGAACCUUAUUAAGGCUGCAAAGUCAAGCAUUAAGAAGACAGGAAAUGCCAGAAUUCAACUUGCCUGUGCAACCUUAAUUUGUCUCCUUGUGGGUAUGCAUUAGGAUACAGUCUUUAAUUAUAUGAUCACAUAUAUGUUCAUGGGACCCCUGCUUUAUUCAGUGCACAGAAUGGAGGGCAUUCCCUUAAUGAGCAGCUAUUCAAUAUUUGUUUUCUCCAAAUUGUUCAAUAUGUGGCCCCAGGAUUUAUUUACAGCAGACUAUUCAAAUCCUGCUCUGAACACAGAAUUAUUAAUUUUGUCAUGGGCUUUUGUAUGGUGCUCAUCACUAUAGUAUCUCACUACCUCACAAACAUUACACCCCCGUGAAGUGGGGAGGGGGCGUCAGGAGCGGCAAAAGAUCCCUAAAGGUGAGAGGGCCAAAGGUGCCCAAACCGUGGCCCCAUCCUCCCUGAGCCACCUCUUUCCCCGAGCCCCUGCCCUCACACCGCUCCUUCCCUCAAGGCCCCGCCCUCGCACC